rnacentral:tRNA from 1 species
GGAGUAGUUCAGUGGUAGAGCGCUAGAUUGUGGUUCUAGUUGUCGAGGGUUCAAGUCCCUUCUC